rnacentral:rRNA from 1 species
AUUGAACGCUGGCGGCAGGCCUAACACAUGCAAGUCGAACGAGUGGCGGACGGGUGAGUAAUGUCUGGGAAACUGCCUGAUGGAGGGGGAUAACUACUGGAAACGGUAGCUAAUACCGCAUACCAUCGGAUGUGCCCAGAUGGGUUUAGCUAGUAGGUGUGGUAAAGGCUAACCUAGGCGACGAUCCCUAGCUGGUCUGAGAGGAUGACCAGCCACACUGGAACUGAGACACGGUCCAGACGCCUACGGUAGGCAGCAGUGGGGAAUAUUGCACAAUGGGCGCAAGCCUGAUUCAGCCAUGCCGCGUGUAUGAAGAAGGCCUUCGGGUUGUAAAGUACUGUCAGCGGGGAGGCGUUACCCGCAGAAGAAGCACCGGCUAACUCCGUGCCAGCAGCCGCGGUAAUAC